UUCUUCGAGGAGCGUUGCGACAGAACAUUCUGCCAGGCUCGGAGAAGGCACUUAGCAACAAACGGCGCUCGUUCAUU
rnacentral:ncRNA from 2 species